rnacentral:lncRNA from 1 species
CGGCGCAGCGAUGGGACCCAUCCGGCCCAUAGUGAGGUGCUCACAUCAAAGUCCCAGCAGGCAGGGACUUCAGCCUGGAGGAGUUGAGGGUGGCAGGCAUCCACAAGAAGGUGGCCUGGACCAUUGGCAUCUCUGUGGACCUUAGGAGGUGGAACAAAUCCCUACAGGCCAAAGUGCAGCGGCUGAAGGAGUACCACUCCAAGCUCAUCCUCUUCCCCAGGAAGCCCUCCGCCCCCAAGAAGGGAGAAAGCUCAGCUGACAGGACCAGAACCUAUACAAGAAGGAGAAAGCCAGAGUCAUCACCAAAGAGGAAAAGAACUUCACAGCAUUUGACAGUCUCUGGAUGGCUCUCGCCAAAGCCUUGCUCUUUGCCAUGGAUCAAAAAAGGCCAAGGAAGCUGUAGAACAGGAUGUAGAAAAGAAAAAAAUAAAGCACUGUGGUAUCUUGUAAUAAAUGCUCUCCA